rnacentral:rRNA from 1 species
UACGUAGGUGGCAAGCGUUGUCCGGAUUUACUGGGCGUAAAGGAUGCGUAGGCGGACAUUUUAAGUCAGAUGUGAAAUACCCGAGCUUAACUUGGGUGCUGCAUUUGAAACUGGGUGUCUAGAGUGCAGGAGAGGUAAGUGGAAUUCCUAGUGUAGCGGUGAAAUGCGUAGAGAUUAGGAAGAACACCAGUGGCGAAGGCGACUUACUGGACUGUAACUGACGCUGGAGGCAUGAAAGCGUGGGGAGCAAACAGG